CCUACGGGAGGCAGCAGUGGGGAAUUUUGGACAAUGGGCGAAAGCCUGAUCCAGCCAUGCCGCGUGCAGGAUGAAGGCCUUCGGGUUGUAAACUGCUUUUGUACGGAACGAAAAGCACUGCCUUAAUACGGUGGUGCCAUGACGGUACCGUAAGAAUAAGCACCGGCUAACUACGUGCCAGCAGCCGCGGUAAUACGUAGGGUGCAAGCGUUAAUCGGAAUUACUGGGCGUAAAGCGUGCGCAGGCGGUUAUAUAAGACAGAUGUGAAAUCCCCGGGCUCAACCUGGGAACUGCAUUUGUGACUGUAUAGCUAGAGUACGGCAGAGGGGGAUGGAAUUCCGCGUGUAGCAGUGAAAUGCGUAGAUAUGCGGAGGAACACCGAUGGCGAAGGCAAUCCCCUGGGCCUGUACUGACGCUCAUGCACGAAAGCGUGGGGAGCAAACAGGAUUAGAUACCCUGGUAGUCCACGCCCUAAACGAUGUCAACUGGUUGUUGGGUCUUCACUGACUCAGUAACGAAGCUAACGCGUGAAGUUGACCGCCUGGGGGAGGACGGCCGCGAGGUAGUAAACGUUAAAGGUAAAGUUAGUACGGCGUAGAGACGUAGACCGACGGACGACGACGAGGGGAGGAGGG
rnacentral:rRNA from 1 species